UGGAGGAACUGGACUGGGGGCGGCCACUCAGGCUUCAAGUGCAGGAAGGAAGUGAGAUUGCCACCUUGUAAAGGCAGGCACCGGCUUUGGGUCCGUGCGUGCCCAGGGCCGCCUGCUCCAGGAAGAGUCACAGAAGGACCCUGCGGGACCGACUCUGUCCUCUGGAAUGCUCCGUCACACCUGAGUACCGUCUGCCACCGCGCCAGGGUCUGCCCCGCACACAGGCCGCGCGUGCGUUCGUGGCCUGGGAUUCUGGCUGCAGUACCGUGUUUCCCCAUGAACAACUGCUCCUCCUGCUGUACCUGAGGGUGGGCACACGACCCGUCCUGGACCAUCAGAGCACGGUGCGCUCUGGCCACAGUGACAGGCCCACUGGACCCCAGCCGGGUCUGCUGCUGAGGCUGGGUGCUGAGUGACAGGAGUGGGCACGAGCUGCUGGAGUCCCUCCUGCCACCGGGUGGGUGGACGGCCUGCCCAGGAUGGGCUGGCAGAGGAGGAAGAGCCAGCUGUGGAGGUGAGGGGGGAGACCGAGUCCUGAGGGCUCUCGCUGUACACGUUUAGUUUUUAAUGAGCCGUCCUGUCCCUGAUGGAACACCACCUUUAUUUUUUU